rfam:Salmo salar isolate Sally breed double haploid chromosome ssa15, whole genome shotgun sequence.
GCAUUGGUGGUUCAGUGGUAGAAUUCUCACCUGCCAUGCGGGAGACCCGGGCUCGUUUCCCGGCCAAUACA